GAUCCCGUAGCUCAGCUGGUUAGAGUACUGUCCUGAUACGACAGGGGUCCCAGGUUCAAAUCCUGGCGGGAUCA
rnacentral:tRNA from 1 species